GAUUAACGCUGGCGGCGUGCCUAACACAUGCCAGUCGAACGCUCAAACUUUGCCGUCUUUUUCUGCACGAUACUCUGCGGAUUAGUGACGAACGGGUGAGUCAUGCGUGAGCUACCUGCUUUCCACAGGGGACUAGUCUUUGGAAAAGAUAAUAACUACUAUUUAUAACUAUUACAGCACAUUUUAGCAUGGUCAACGUGAUAGCGGUGUAAGAUGGACUUGCGUCUGAUUAGCUAGUUGGUGAGAUAAAAGCCCACCAAGGCAACGAGCAGUAGGCGGCUUGAGAGAGGGUACAGCCACAUUGGGAAUGAGACACGGCCCAGACUCCGACGGGAGGCAGCAGUGGGGAAUUUUGCACAAGGGGGGAAACCCAGAUGCAGCGGCGCCGCGAGAUUUAGAAUGCCUUCGGAUUGUAAAAAUCUUUUGUAUGGGAAGAAAAUGACGGUACUAUACGAAUAAGGGCCGGCUAAUUACGUG
rnacentral:rRNA from 1 species